UUUGAAUGGCCGCAGUAUAUUAACUGUGCAAAGGUAGCAUAAUCAUUAGUCUUUUAAUUGGAGGCUGGAAUGAAUGGUUGGACGUAAUAUUAACUGUUUCAUAAAAAUUUAUAUUAGAAUUUUAUUUUUUAGUUAAAAAGCUAAAAUUAAUUUAAAAGACGAGAAGACCCUAUAAAUCUUUAUAUUUAAAAUUUAAUAAUUUUGUAGAUUUAUUUUAUUAUUAAAUGGUUAAUAUUUUAUUGGGGUGAUAUUAAAAUUUAAUAAACUUUUAAUUUUUUUUUUCAUUAAUUUAUGUUUUAUUGAUCCAUUAUUAUUGAUUAAAAAUUUAAGUUACUUUAGGGAUAACAGCGUAAUUUUUUUUGAGAGUUCUUAUCGAAAAAAAAGAUUGCGACCUCGAUGUUGGAUUAAGAUAAAUUUUA
rnacentral:rRNA from 1 species